GACGAACGCUGGCGGCGUGCCUAAUACAUGCAAGUGGGACGCAAGGAAACACACUGUGCUUGCACACCGUGUUCUCUUGAGUCGCGAACGGGUGAGUAACCCGUAGGUAACCUGCCUAUUAGCGGGGGAUAACUAUUGGAAACGAUAGCUAAUACCGCAUAAUAUUAAUUAUUGCAUGAUAAUUGAUUGAAAGAUGCAAGCGCAUCACUAGUAGAUGGACCUGCGUUGUAUUAGCUAGUUGGUAAGGUAAGAGCUUACCAAGGCGACGAUACAUAGCCGACCUGAGAGGGUGAUCGGCCACACUGGGACUGAGACACGGCCCAGACUUCUACGGGAGGCAGCAGUAGGGAAUCUUCGGCAAUGGACGAAAGUCUGACCGAGCAACGCCGCGUGAGUGAAGAAGGUUUUCGGAUCGUAAAGCUCUGUUGUAAGUCAAGAACGUGUGUGAGAGUGGAAAGUU
rnacentral:rRNA from 1 species